CAAAAAGGUACUAAGGGCGCACGGUGGAUGCCUUGGCGAUAUCAGCCGAAGAAGGACGUGGUAAGACUGCGAUAAGCUUCGGGGAGGUGUCAAGCAAGCUUUGACCCGGAGAUUUCCGAAUGGGGGAACCCAGCAGGAGUUAUGCGUGUCUCUCACCUGAAUACAUAGGUUGUGUAGGGGGAACCACCUGGGGAACUGAAACAUCUAAGUACCCUGAGGAAGAGAAAUCAAACGAGAUUCUGUUAGUAGCGGCGAGCGAAACGGGAAGAGGCCAAACCGUAUUGAUAGGGAAACUUAAUGGGGUUGUGAUCAUGACCAAGUCAUCGUGAGUCAAGUGGUAAAUGAGGUUAGAAGAAUCGAGUUGGGAAAGACUCAGCCAAAGAAGGUGAAAGCCCUGUAAUCGAAAACACCUUGAUACAUGGGACUGUUUCCAGAGUACCACGGGACACGUGAAACCCUGUGGGAAGCAGGGGGGACCACCCUCCAAGCCUAAAUACUAAUAUCGACCGAUAGUGAACUAGUACCGUGAGGGAAAGGUGAAAAGAACCCCGGGAGGGGAGUGAAAUAGAACCUGAAACCGUGUGCCUACAAACAGUCGGAGCCGGCUAUAUGUCAGGUGACGGCGUGCCUUUUGUAGAAUGAACCGACGAGUUACUUUCAUGCUGCGAGGUUAAGUGGAAGAGACGGAGCCGCAGCGAAAGCGAGUCUGAAUAGGGCGUUCAGUGUAUGGCGAUAGUAGACCCGAAACCGUAGUGACCUACCCAUGGGCAGGUUGAAGCUGCGGUAAAACGCAGUGGAGGACCGAACCAGUGAGCGCUGAAAAAGCUUUUGGAUGAGUUGUGGGUAGGGGUGAAAUGCCAAUCGAACUCGGAGAUAGCUGGUUCUCCCCGAAAUAGCUUUAGGGCUAGCGUCGAGGUGAAUAUAGCCAACGGGGGUAGAGCACUGUAUCGACUAGGGGCGGGGUCAUACCGGGUUACCGACCCUUAGACAAACUACGAAUGCCUAUGGUGGUACCAUGGCAGUCAGACACGGGUGCUAAGGUCCGUAGUCAAAAGGGAAACAGCCCAGACCACCAGCUAAGGUCCCAAAAUGUAACACUAAGUGGCAAAGGAUGUGGGGUUUCAAAAACAACUAGGAUGUUGGCUUAGAAGCAGCCAUUCAUUUAAAGAGUGCGUAAUAGCUCACUAGUCGAGAGACCCUGCGCCGAAAAUGUAACGGGGCUAAAGUGUAAUACCGAAGCUGUGGAUUUCGUUAUCCUAGGUUUAAGGAUGGUAGGGGAGCGUUCCUAUCGGCAGUGAAGCUGUACCGUAAGGGUUGGCUGGAGCGUAUAGGAAGUGAGAAUGCCGGUAUGAGUAGCGAAAAGAAAGGUGAGAAUCCUUUCCACCGAAAGACCAAGGUUUCCAGGGCAACGGUCAUCAUCCCUGGGUUAGUCGGGACCUAAGCCGAGGCGGAAAAGCGUAGGCGAUGGACAACAGGUUGAUAUUCCUGUACCGGUUAUAAUUUGUAUGACUGGGGGAACGGUACAAGUAGGUCGAAGCACGCGAUUGGAAUUGCGUAUAUAUGCGUCUAAGCUUGAGCAGGGAACGCUCUAAAAGCUGAGAGUGAGACGAGUUAAUCUACGGAUUAACGAUUUUGAUGAAAGUACUGGCUAGAAAAGCAGAUAUACGCGUGGUUAUAGCCGCCCGUACCGCAAACCAACACAGGUGCUCGAGUCGAGUAGACUCAGGCUUACGAGAGACCCUUCGCUAAGGAACUCGGCAAAACAGCGACCGUAACUUCGGGAUAAGGUCUGCCUAAUGAAAGAGGCCGCAGCAAAAGAGCCCACGGAACUGUUUACCAAAAACACAGGUCUCUGCUAACACGAAAGUGGAUGUAUAGGGGCUGACUCCUGCCCAGUGCUGGAAGGUUAAGGGGAGUGCUUGAUAACGAGUGAAGCUCUGAAUUGAAGCCCCAGUAAACGGCGGCCGUAACUAUAACGGUCCUAAGGUAGCGAAAUUCCUUGUCAGGUAAGUUCUGACCCGCACGAAUGGAGUAAUCAUGUGGGCACUGUCUCGGCGAAGGACUCGGUGAAAGUGCAUUGGCGGUAAAGAUGCCGUCUGUCCAUGCCAGGACGAGAAGACCCCAUGGAGCUUUACUACAGCUUGACAUUGACACGUGUUACAUCAUGUACAGGAUAGGUGGGAGGCUUUGAAGCAGAUACGCCAGUAUUUGUGGAGCCACAGGUGAAAUACCACCCUUGAUGUAGUCUUUGUCUUACCAUUUCCGUUAUCCGGUAAUGGGACCGUGUAUGGUGGGCAGUUUGACUGGGGCGGUCGCCUCCUAAAGAGUAACGGAGGCGCCCAAAGGUUCCCUCAGAUUCGGAUGGAAAUCGAAGUCGAUAGUGUAAAAGGCAAAAGGGAGCUUGACUGCGAGACCGACAAGUCGAGCAGGGACGAAAGUCGGAGCUUAGUGAUCCGGUGGUCAUGGAAGUGGGACGCAUCGCUCAACGGAUAAAAGUUACCCUGGGGAUAACAGGCUUAUCGCGCCCAAUAGUUCACAUAGACGGCGCGGUUUGGCACCUCGAUGUCGGCUCAUCACAUCCUGGAGGGGGAGCACCUUCCAAGGGUUCGGCUGUUCGCCGAUUAAAGUGGUACGCGAGCUGGGUUCAGAACGUCGUGAGACAGUUCGGUUUAUAUCCGGCAUGGACGUAAGGAUUCUUGAGGAGAUUUGUCUCUAGUACGAGAGGACCGAGAUGAACGAACCUCUGGUGUAUCGAUUGUGGCCACCUGCUGCAGUGUCGAGUAGCUAUGUUCGGUUAAGAUAAGCGCUGAAAGCAUAUUAAGCGCGAAACUGACUCCAAGAUUAGGAAUCCCAUGAGGACACAGAAAGAUGAUCUGUUUGAUAGGCGCAAGGUGUAAACCUGGUAACAGGCUAGCCAAAGCGUACUAAUAGUCCAAUCGCCUUUUUAUG
rnacentral:rRNA from 19 species